ACCAGACUCCUACGGGAGGCAGCAGUGGGGAAUAUUGCACAAUGGGGGAAACCCUGAUGCAGCGACGCCGCGUGAGCGAUGAAGUAUUUCGGUAUGUAAAGCUCUAUCAGCAGGGAAGAAAAUGACGGUACCUGACUAAGAAGCCCCGGCUAACUACGUGCCAGCAGCCGCGGUAAUACGUAGGAGGCAAGCGUUAUCCGGAUUUACUGGGUGUAAAGGGAGCGUAGACGGUCCUGCAAGCCAGAUGUGAAAGCCCGGGGCUCAACCGCGGGACUGCUUUUGAAACUGUGUAGCUAGAGUGCAGGAGAGGUAAGUGGAAUUCCUAGUGUAGCGGUGAAAUGCGUAGAUAUUAGGAGGAACAUCAGUGGCGAAGGCGACUUUCUGGACUGUAACUGACGCUGAGGCACGAAAGUGUGGGGAGCAAACAGGAUUAGAUACCCGCGUA
rnacentral:rRNA from 1 species